AUUCUGGAAACUAAAGAGAUAGACAAGCUGAAGAGCCCUGCCUGCCUGGGUCUCUCCUCCCUGCCUGGUAUCUGCCUCACCUCCUUCCGGACAUAGGGAAGAUAGAGAGAGCGUGCUGGGGGCAGUUCAGAGCCUGCUGCUGGGGGUCAAUGCAGAGCGGGGAGCGGCUGGCCCUGGUGGUAAGGAUGCCGUUCUGGAUGGAGAGCUCAUCAGGAGGCAGUCCCUGGGAGCCCCACCUGGAAGGCACCGUGACAGGAGCAUUGCUUUUCCUUGCCAAGUAGUGAAGCAAAGGCUAAGAGUGGAAGUGGUACCUUCCAGAACAAUCUACCUAUCCCCAGGCUGCUCAACCCUCCUCAAACUCUGAGCAAAAGAGCUUGGGACUGGAUGUGCAGCUGCAUCUGCCAUUUCUGUGCACUCAGAUCAGAUGCGUCCUGGCGGCUCAUUCCCUUGUUAGGCCCCAGGCCAUCACCCUCCCACCAGGGUGAAUCUGCAGAGACCCCAGCCUAUGGUCCCCCACGUCCUCCAGGCUCAGGCUUUCCACACCUGCUAAUCUCAACAUCAUCCGUGAGCAGGUUUUCUAAUCUAAAAGGCUGGCUCAGGGGAAUCUCCCUCUCCAGGAGAUCGUUCUGCCAGACUUGAUUAACCAUCUCGUCUCGGAACUCCCAUGUAAAGGCCCCUUCGUAGCUCAGGAAGGCCGCACAAAGCAGGCAGUCUCCUAGUAACUUCACUCGACGGUGCAUCAGUUCAUCCAAGUCAUUCAGCCACCUGGCGGAGGAGAGAGGGGCUGCGGUAGUGAUCAUCUCCUGGCCACAAGCAAAAGGAGCCUUCUAGAAGAUCCAGUUGGAUCUCUGCCCCAACUCUAGCCAGAGGAAACCUUUCCUGAGAUAGUAUUUCAUUGCCAGGAUGGAGCUCGCCAUUUCACUUUGCUGUCUCCCACCCUAGCGAACCCAGGGUUUUGAAGGAUUUUGUCCCA